UAGGGAAUCUUCGGCAAUGGGGGGAACCCUGACCGAGCAACGCCGCGUGAGUGAAGAAGGUUUUCGGAUCGUAAAGCUCUGUUGUUAAGGAAGAACGAGUGUGAGAAUGGAAAGUUCAUGCUGUGACGGUACUUAACCAGAAAGGGACGGCUAACUACGUGCCAGCAGCCGCGGUAAUACGUAGGUCCCGAGCGUUGUCCGGAUUUAUUGGGCGUAAAGCGAGCGCAGGCGGUCAAUUAAGUCUGAUGUGAAAGCCCCCGGCUCAACCGGGGAGGGUCAUUGGAAACUGGUUGACUUGAGUGCAGAAGAGGAGAGUGGAAUUCCAUGUGUAGCGGUGAAAUGCGUAGAUAUAUGGAGGAACACCAGUGGCGAAGGCGACUCUCUGGUCUGUAACUGACGCUGAGGCUCGAAAGCGUGGGGAGCGAACAGG
rnacentral:rRNA from 1 species